rnacentral:rRNA from 1 species
UACGGAGGAUCCGAGCGUUAUCCGGAUUUAUUGGGUUUAAAGGGUGCGUAGGCGGGAGAUUAAGUCGGUGGAGAAAUUUUGCAGCUCAACUGUAAAAGUGCCAUUGAUACUGGUUUCCUUGAGUGUGGAUGAAGUAGGCGGAAUUUGUGGUGUAGCGGUGAAAUGCUUAGAUAUCACGAGGAACUCCGAUUGCGCAGGCAGCUUACUAAACUACUACUGACGCUCAGGCACGAAGGCGUGGGGAUCAAACAGGAUUAGAUACCCUGGUA